GACGAACGCUGGCGGCGUGCUUAACACAUGCAAGUCGAACGGAAAGGCCCCUUUGGGGGUACACGAGUGGCGACCGGGUGAGUAACACGUGAGUAACCUGCCCUUGACUUCGGGAUAACUUCAGGAAACUGGGGCUAAUACCGGAUAGGAAUCCUUGCUGCAUGGUUGGGGUUGGAAAGCUUCGGCGGUUUUGGAUGGACUCGCGGCUUAUCAGCUUGUUUGUGGGGUAGUGGCUUACCAAGGCUUUGACGGGUAGCCGGCCUGAGAGGGCGACCGGCCACAUUGGGACUGCGAUACGGCCCAGAAGCCUACGGGAGGCAGCAGUGGGGAAUAUUGCACAAUGGGCGGAAGCCUGAUGCAGCAAUGCCGCGUGCGGGAUGACGGCCUUCGGGUUGUAAACCGCUUUCAGCAGGGGCGAAGCUUGUGGUGACGGUACCUGCAGAAGAAGCACCGGCUAACUACGUG
rnacentral:rRNA from 1 species